ACCGGCGCACGGGUGCGUAACGCGUAUGCAACCUACCUAUUGCAGGGGAAUAGCCCAGGGAAACUUGGAUUAAUGCCCCAUAGUCCAUAUUGAGAGCAUUUGAGAUAUGGUAAAGAUUUAUCGGCAAUAGAUGGGCAUGCGUCCCAUUAGCUAGUUGGUAUGGUAACGGCAUACCAAGGCUACGAUGGGUAGGGGCCCUGAGAGGGGGAUCCCCCACACUGGUACUGAGACACGGACCAGACUCCUACGGGAGGCAGCAGUGAGGAAUAUUGGACAAUGGGCGGGAGCCUGAUCCAGCCAUGCCGCGUGCAGGAAGACUGCCCUAUGGGUUGUAAACUGCUUUUUUACGGGAAGAAACACCCCCACGUGUGGGGGCUUGACGGUACCGUACGAAUAAGGACCGGCUAACUCCGUGCCAGCAGCCGCGGUAAUACGGAGGGUCCGAGCGUUAUCCGGAAUCAUUGGGUUUAAAGGGUCCGUAGGCGGGCGUCUAAGUCAGUGGUGAAAUCUCGCGGCUCAACCGUGAAAUUGCCAUUGAUACUGGUCGCCUUGAAUUAGUGUGAAGUGGCUAGAAUAUGUAGUGUAGCGGUGAAAUGCUUAGAUAUUACAUAGAAUACCGAUUGCGAAGGCAGGUCACUAACACUAUAUUGACGCUGAUGGACGAAAGCGUGGGGAGCGAACAGGAUUAGAUACCCUGGUAGUCCACGCCGUAAACGAUGGAUACUAGCUGUCCGGCCUGCAUUGGUAGGCUGGGUGGCCAAGC
rnacentral:rRNA from 1 species